rnacentral:tRNA from 1 species
GGGCGGUUAGCUCAGUUGGUAGAGCGCUACUUUGACGUAGUAGAUGUCAGAGGUUCGACUCCUCUACCGCCCACCA